AACGAACGCUGGCGGCAGGCCUAACACAUGCAAGUCGAACGCUCCGCAAGGGGAGUGGCGCACGGGUGAGUAACACGUGGGAACCUACCUUCUGGUACGGAACAACCAAGGGAAACUUUGGCUAAGACCGUAUACGACCUCCGGGUGAAAGAUUGAUCGCCGGAAGAGGGGCCCGCGUCCGAUUAGGUAGUUGGUGAGGUAACGGCUCACCAAGCCUUCGAUCGGUAGCUGGUCUGAGAGGAUGACCAGCCACACUGGGACUGAGACACGGCCCAGACUCCUACGGGAGGCAGCAGUGGGGAACAUUGGACAAUGGGCGCAAGCCUGAUCCAGCCAUGCCGCGUGAGUGAUGAAGGCCUUCGGUUGUU
rnacentral:rRNA from 1 species